rnacentral:rRNA from 1 species
UAGGGAAUUUUCCACAAUGGACGAAAGUCUGAUGGAGCAACGCCGCGUGCAGGAGGAAGGCCCUCGGGUCGUAAACUGCUUUUAUUGGUGACGAUUUUGACGGUAGCCAAUGAAUAAGGGUCUGCUAACUACGUGCCAGCAGCCGCGGUCAUACGUAGGACCCAAGCGUUAUCCGGAAUUACUGGGCGUAAAGAGUUGCGUAGGUGGCAUAGUAAGCAAAUAGUGAAAGCGUGAGGCUCAACCUCAUAUCCAUUAUUUGAACUGCUAAGCUAGAGUAUGGGAGAGGUAGAUGGAAUUUCUAGUGUAGGAGUGAAAUCCGUAGAUAUUAGAAGGAACACCGAUGGCGUAGGCAGUCUACUGGCCCAUUACUGACACUAAGGCACGAAAGCGUGGGGAGCGAACGGGAUUAGAUACCCCCGUAGUCC